UUCUAGCAACAACCAUGUCACAGUACUCCUAUACUCCUAUAUGUAGUUAACUAGUAAUUCUUAUUCCUGUACAAAAUAGGAAUAGAAGAGACACCGCUGACAGUAAUUUCUAUAAUGAUUAUGUAAUUUCUAUAAUUUCAGAAAGUGGUCAGGAAAGGAAAUAGUAUCUAUCUGGCCAACUCUGAUGCUAUUGAAAGGCUGAAGCUUAGCGCCGGUGAUAAUAACAGUUAUUACAUUUCUGAAAGUGAACUGCAGAUACAUGUUGUGCCAAUUCCAAUCUGGCCAAGAUCUGCGGUACACUUUCAAGUAAUAGGGCCCCAACUUCACACCAAUCAUGAUAUUUUAGGGGAUACUGAAAUAUAAAAAGUCUGGACUUGUAAUAUAGAAUCAAGGACCAAAAAUCUCAUACCAGUCUUUGACGUUCUUAGCACAUCUAGGUAUCAAUAGACAAGAUAAUCAAUGCAAGAUUUACCUCUUGGUGUUGUCCUACUUUCAGUUUUAAAAAUACUCCUAAAUCAGUACAAGAAUUACCUCAUUGGCUGGGCUGUUUUUCAUUAAACAAUAAACAUUUAGUGCAUGUAUGUAUAUCCGCAAUAUAUGGGCAAUCUGGAAAGUAAGGAAUGAUGCCUAUUUCAAUGGAGUGUACUCGGCUAUGCGGCAAAGCUUCGCGAGCUCUAUAGAAGGCAAGGCUGGGACGAUGGUGCUCAAUCUGGAGGUGAUACAAUGAGUAGAAGGUGUGGAAGUGUUGGGAUGUUGGUGUCUUUUGGUUCGCAAGUAGAUGUAGAUGAUGCAGCAAGUAGAUGACGUGGAAGUGUUGGGUGUUUGGUUUCUUUUGGUUCGCUUGUAGUUGUCGUAGAGUUUUUCCCGCUUACAUUCAAAUUUUGUGUAUCUGAUCUUGAACCUUGGUUGCUUGAAGUGACAUGUUCCCUAUAAUACACUUUGCAUUGUGCUUUCUUUGAAUUUAAUAUGAGGUUCUACUA